UGAAGUCGAGCGGCGUGCUAAUACAUGCAAGUCGAACGAUGUGCUUUUGUAGUAUACGAGAGUAUCUAGUGGCGAACGGGUGAGUAACGCGUUGGUGACCUACCCCAAAGUGUGGGAUAACAGUCCGAAAGGAUUGCUAAUACCGCAUGUGGUCAUUGGGUUUAGAAACUAAUGACUAAAGCAGCAAUGCGCUUUGGGAAGGACCUGCGUCCCAUCAGCUAGUUGGUGAGGUAAUGGCUCACCAAGGCGACGACGGGUAGGGGACCUGAGAGGGUGACCCCCCACAAUGGAACUGAAACACGGUCCAUACACCUACGGGUGGCAGCAGUAGGGAAUAUUGCUCAAUGGGCGAAAGCCUGAAGCAGCAACGCCGCGUGCGCGAUGAAGGUCUUCGGAUCGUAAAGCGCUUUUCUGCGAGAUGAGAAAGGACAGUAUCGUAGGAAUAAGUCUCGGCUAACUACGUGCCAGCAGCCGCGGUAAUACGUAGGAGGCGAGCGUUGUCCGGAUUUACUGGGCGUAAAGAGCGCGCAGGCGGCACCUCAAGUACUCUCUGAAAUCCACCUGCUCAACGGGUGGGGUGGAGAGUAGACUGAGGAGCUAGAGAGAGGUAGAGGGGGGUAGAAUUGCUGGUGUAGCGGUGAAAUGCGUAGAGAUCAGCAGGAAUACCCGUGGCGAAGGCGGCCCCCUGGGCCUCUUCUGACGCCGAGGCGCGAAGGCUGGGGGAGCGAACGGGAUUAGAUACCCCGGUAGUCCCAGCAGUAAACGAUGACCACUAGGUGUGGGGGGUGUUGACCCCUUCCGUGCCGAAGCCAACGCAUUAAGUGGUCCGCCUGGGGAGUACGGUCGCAAGACUAAAACUCAAAGGAAUUGACGGGGCCCCGCACAAGCAGCGGAGCGUGUGGUUUAAUUCGAUGCGACGCGAAGAACCUUACCUGGGCUUGACAUGUACUCGCAAACCUGUGAAAGCAGGUCCUCCUUCGGGACGGGUACACAGAUGCUGCAUGGCUGUCGUCAGCUCGUGUCGUGAGAUGUUGGGUUAAGUCCCGCAACGAGCGCAACCCCCGUCUCUAGUUGAAUAUCUAGAGCGACUGCCGCAAACAAAGCGGAGGAAGGUGGGGAUGACGUCAAGUCAGCAUGGCUCUUACGUCCAGGGCUACACACACGCUACAAUGGCAGGUACAGUGAGAAGCCACCCAGCGAUGGGGAGCGGACCUCCAAAGCCUGCCCCAGUUCAGAUUGCAGUCUGCAACCCGACUGCAUGAAGGCGGAGUUGCUAGUAGCCGCGUGUCAGCAUAGCGCGUGAUGCCUACCCGGGCGUCACACACCGCCCGUCAGGCAGNUUCUCGCCCAUAUUGCAACA
rnacentral:rRNA from 1 species